rnacentral:rRNA from 1 species
UGGGGAAUAUUGCACAAUGGGCGCAAGCCUGAUGCAGCCAUGCCGCGUGUAUGAAGAAGGCCUUCGGGUUGUAAAGUACUUUCAGUCGGGAGGAAGGUGUCAAGGUUAAUAACCUUGGCAAUUGACGUUACCGACAGAAGAAGCACCGGCUAACUCCGUGCCAGCAGCCGCGGUAAUACGGAGGGUGCAAGCGUUAAUCGGAAUUACUGGGCGUAAAGCGCACGCAGGCGGUUGAUUGAGUCAGAUGUGAAAUCCUCGGGCUCAACCUGGGAACUGCAUCUGAUACUGGCAAGCUUGAGUCUCGUAGAGGGGGGUAGAAUUCCAGGUGUAGCGGUGAAAUGCGGAGAGAUCUGGAGGAAUAACGGUGGCGAAGGCGGCCCCCUGGACGAAGACUGACGCUCAGGUGCGAAAGCGUGGGGAGCAAACAGG